GCCAUAUCACACUGAAACACCAGCUCAUCUGAUUACCAAAGUUAAGCAACAUCAAGUCUGGUCAGUACUUAGAUGGUUGACUCUUUGGGAAUACCAGGUGCUGUAAGC